AGAGUUUGAUCCUGGCUCAGAUUGAACGCUGGCGGCAUGCCUUACACAUGCAAGUCGAACGGCAGCACGGGGGCAACCCUGGUGGCGAGUGGCGAACGGGUGAGUAAUACAUCGGAACGUGUCCUGUAGUGGGGGAUAGCCCGGCGAAAGCCGGAUUAAUACCGCAUACGCUCUACGGAGGAAAGGGGGGGAUCUUAGGACCUCCCGCUACAGGGGCGGCCGAUGGCAGAUUAGCUAGUUGGUGGGGUAAAGGCCUACCAAGGCGACGAUCUGUAGCUGGUCUGAGAGGACGACCAGCCACACUGGGACUGAGACACGGCCCAGACUCCUACGGGAGGCAGCAGUGGGGAAUAUUGCACAAUGGGCGCAAGCCUGAUGCAGCAACGCCGCGUGAGGGACGACGGCCUUCGGGUUGUAAACCUCUUUUAGUAGGGAAGAAGCGAAAGUGACGGUACCUGCAGAAAAAGCACCGGCUAACUACGUGCCAGCAGCCGCGGUAAUACGUAGGGUGCAAGCGUUGUCCGGAAUUAUUGGGCGUAAAGAGCUCGUAGGCGGUUUGUCGCGUCUGCUGUGAAAACCCGAGGCUCAACCUCGGGCCUGCAGUGGGUACGGGCAGACUAGAGUGCGGUAGGGGAGAUUGGAAUUCCUGGUGUAGCGGUGGAAUGCGCAGAUAUCAGGAGGAACACCGAUGGCGAAGGCAGAUCUCUGGGCCGUAACUGACGCUGAGGAGCGAAAGCAUGGGGAGCGAACAGGAUUAGAUACCCUGGUAGUC
rnacentral:rRNA from 1 species